rnacentral:rRNA from 1 species
UAGGGAAUCUUCCGCAAUGGACGAAAGUCUGACGGAGCAACGCCGCGUGAGUGAAGAAGGAUUUCGGUUCGUAAAACUCUGUUGUUAGGGAAGAAAAAAUGUAUAGUAACUAUAUACAAAAGAGACGGUACCUAACCAGAAAGCCACGGCUAACUACGUGCCAGCAGCCGCGGUAAUACGUAGGUGGCAAGCGUUGUCCGGAAUUAUUGGGCGUAAAGCGCGCGCAGGUGGUUUAGAAAGUCUGAUGUGAAAGCCCACGGCUCAACCGUGGAGGGUCAUUGGAAGCUAAUAAACUUGAGUGCAGGAGAGAAAAGUGGAAUUCCUAGUGUAGCGGUGAAAUGCGUAGAGAUUAGGAGGAACACCGGUGGCGAAAGCGGCUUUUUGGCCUGCAACUGACACUGAGGCGCGAAAGCGUGGGGAGCAAACAGG